rnacentral:lncRNA from 1 species
CACCACACCCCCGAGCAGGAGAUUAACACCGAAAACCAUUGAUCUUUUUUGAACGUGCUCCUGCUAAUAAACACAGAGCACCUAUAUUUUUCUUCGAUCGUGUUCUGUCAAAGUCAGCGUGCUCUCCCAAACUCGACGCUGCACAACCGGUCACAAUAUAGACGCUGAGAAGGAGAUACAACUUACACAAAUUGGAGCCUUGAGAAAUGAGAGCUUGGUGGGGUUGAUUUCGACGUAUUGCGGUAUUCAUUACUUUGCCGGAGGUGGAACCCUGUGACCUCCAUCUAACAUAUUGAUUGCCCGAUUUAUUGCUAAAUGUACAUUGUGUGCCUGUAACAUUCUUGGUGUUUUCGGAAUCUUGUGAACCUCAGGUAGAGUACUCUACUCAUUUACUUUAUUGAUUUGCAUUUGUUUUUAUUUUAUUUUAUUAUGUGGUGCUAUGCAAGAUUUUGGGAUUUGAAGGAUUGUAAACCUCGAAUUCCUAAUUGUAUCAUUGCAACAUGAGAUUUUGUUACGGUAGUGCAUGAUGCGAUGUAAAUGAGACGUUGUGGGUCAUUGAUGUGCUCAUAAACCUCAUCUUUCACAAAUCUUGAAUCAAUGUAAUCCCGGUCUAUUACUGCCACCUCCAUUGAAACUCAAUUAUAAAUGAAUAGCUUGAAAAUUGUUAUAUGCAGUGUAGAUGAAAUUUUUGUUUAUAAACCGAUAUCUGUAGGACCUAAGAUGAAAGCAGGAUAUAGAGCAGUUAAUUUAUAGAGAAAAAGAGGGAGUGACGAGUGAAUAGGAACGUUACUUUGGGUACACUAUACCGUUGGGCGGGAGGGAAGAGUCUUAUUAUUUUUGUAUUAUUUUAUGAUGCAAUGUAAAUGAUUUAUGUUUUGAUAAAAGUUAGCGCUUCCUUUUUUUUUUUUUUGGCAGCAGUAGAGAUUAUCGAAGGCUUGAAUGAUGAACUUUUGGUGGAGUCCGAUUAUGAGAAUGUCGUGGGUAACAUGGACAGGGGUGAAAAAGAAACAUUAGGACAAAAUGGUCCGGUUGUGCCUGAGGUGAGUAUGAUGUUCAACAACGAAAAUGAAAUGUUCGACUUGUACAAGAGGUAUGCUUAUCAUAUAGGUUUUCCCGUCAGAAAAUGAAACUCAAAAAAGGGGAUGAUGGCGUUCUUAGAUAUGCGACAUUCACAUAUAGUUGCGAAGGCAGAAGAAGUAGUAAUGCGAGUGGUUCUAAGAAACCUAAACUAAUUAGCCAGACACACUAUAAAGCUCUGAUAUCAGCUUCUUCAAAUAGUCGAGGAAUGUGGAGAAUUAACACAGUUCACCUUGAUCACAACCACGAGACUAGUCGUUCCAAAUCUAGGUUGUAUCGAUGCAAUAGAGAGUUGAGUGCAAAUGUGAAAUGUAAACUUGAAGUGUAUGACAUUGUAGGAAUUCCAUUACAUAAAAGUUACAACUCCACAGUUGUAGAAGCAGGUGGUUAUGAGAAUAUGACGUGUAUUGAGAAGGAAUGUAGAAACUAUAUUGAACAAGUGAGACGAUUACGACUUGGAGAGGGAGGUGCCGCUACAAUACAGUCCUACUUUUCGAAAAUGCAGGCUCGAUGCUCGGGAUUUUACUUCAGUAUUGAUUUAGAUGACGAGUCUUGACUAAAGAAUGUCUUCUAGGCAGAUAAUAAGUGUAGGCAAGCAUACAAGGAAUUCAACGAUGUUGUCACCUUUGAUACCACGUACCUAACUAACAAGUACGACAUGUCGUUCGCCCCUUUCGUCGGAGUGAAUCAUCAUGGACAAUCAACAUUGUUUGGUUGUGGUUUGUUAGCUAACGAGGACACCGAUACAUUUGUGUGGCUAUUCAAGACAUGGUUUGAGUGUAUGCAUAAAUAAGCUCCUAAUGCAAUAAUUACUGAUCAAGAUCGGGCUAUGCAGAACGCAAUUGGGUUUUCCCGUCUACGACUACAUAGAUGGUGUUUAUGACACAUUUUGAAAAAGUUGCCGAAGAAGUUUGGCUAUCAUGUUGACAAGGGCAUGAUAUUUUUAGCUUUACACAAUCUGGUUUAUGAUUCACAAACUAUUGAAGAAUUUGAAGAAGGAUGGAGACAAAUGAUCGAUACAUAUGAGUUGUGAGAAUAGUUGGUUGUCAGGAUUGUAUGAUAAUAGAGGUUGUUGGGUUCCUUGUUUUUUAUAAACCACAUUUUGGGCAGGCAUAUCAACAAUUCAACAGAGUGAGAGUAUGAAUGUGUUCUUCGAUGGGUGUAUGCAUUUGAAGACAUCGUUGAAACAAUUUGUAGAGCAGUAUGAAAUAGCACUAAGGAGUAAGGUAAAAAAGGAGUUUCAGGCCGAUUUCAGGUCAUACUCAUAACUGGUGCCCUGCGCAACGAAUAUGAAAUUGAAAAUACCAUCUCAAAGUUCAGAGAAGCACAAGAUGAGUUGAAGGGAAAGGUUCAUUGCGACACCAUAUCUACUAUUGAAGGAUUUUCGAGGACAACAUAUGAGGUGCGUGAGGAUGUGAUUUGUCAUGGGCAAGAAAGAAAAAAACGUUUUUGGUCUCUUUCCAUAUGGAAAGUUGUGAGAUAAUUUGCAGUUGCCACUUGUUCGAGUUCAGGAGGAUUAUUUGCAGACAUGCAAUCGCGGUGUUGAUUCGAAAUGAUGUCACACGAUUGCCUGAGAAGUACACACUACGAAGAUAGAAGAGAGACAUCAGUAGAGCACAUGCGAGGAUUGCAGUAAACUACGAUCAUUUGGUCAGCACUCCCGGAUAGUUGAGAUACGACGAGAUGUGUAAGGAUUUUUCGCAAGUAGCCGACCUCGCUGCAGAUGAUGAAGUCUGGACACGGGCUAUAAUGGACUGGAUAAAAUCUCAAGCAACAAAGCUUAUGCUGAUGAAGUCGUGUCCAGGAAAUAGUAUUGUUUCACAGCAUGCUCUUCAUUUAGCCUCGCAAUGUAAUGAUUCGCAAACUACCGGUAGCAAGAGCAUAUGGGAUCCAAAAUUGACAAAGCGAAAGGGCGCACCAUAGAGACUUCGGAGAAAAAGUCCAUUGGAGCCUACGUCAAAGAAAUCGACGGUAAUGUACUUUCUUAUUUACCUCAUUUGUUACUCAAUCCAAUUCCAGAUUCUCAAUAUUGUUCUUGUUCGGGUGUAAAUACAGUUAGCUUCAACAUCAUGCAAAGGAAAGAGACCAAGAUCAAGACAAAGUAAUAUAGAGGAGGCAGUUCUUGAUUUCGUGGCAUCUAAACAACAAUGUUCCACACAGAAACCUUUUUCAUAUUCACAACUCUUAUUGGUUAGUACUUUGACUUUGUUGUGAUUGUUUGGUUGCAUCCCAAAUUGACGUUGUUCUGUGAUGUAGGGCAACGCCUAAAGUUAAGUAUUUUCACAGCACUUGCCACCAUCGAAUUUGAUCCCUCCAUCAUCAACGAAUGUUGAAUUACGUGCCGAAGGUGAAUAAAAUUUUUGAAUCAUCACUGCAUUAAGUUAAAUUUGUUCGUUAGCAUUUACUAAAUUCAAUAUUGUCCAAAUUAUGAUAGGUGGCCCAAAUUUAUAAAUUGGUGGGCUGCAGUUUAUAUGUUAACAAGGCAGGUUGUGCGUAUCGUAAGUUUCGAAAAUUUU